rnacentral:rRNA from 1 species
CAGCCGCCACGGGAAUACGUAGGUGGCAAGCGUUGUCCGGAAUUAUUGGGCGUAAAGGGCUCGCAGGCGGUUUCUUAAGUCUGAUGUGAAAGCCCCCGGCUCAACCGGGGAGGGUCAUUGGAAACUGGGAAACUUGAGUGCAGAAGAGGAGAGUGGAAUUCCACGUGUAGCGGUGAAAUGCGUAGAGAUGAGGAGGAACACCAGUGGCGAAGGCGACUCUCUGGUCUGUAACUGACGCUGAGGAGCGAAAGCGUGGGGAGCGAACAGGAUUAGAUACCCGAGUAGUCCCUGUCUCUUAUAC